AGAGAAGCAGUUUUGACAAUAUGCAGUUAUCACGUCACACACUUUGAACCACUGUUCGUUGACAAGGUUUGUGUUUUGCUAGGAGUCAACUUCCAGGUAACUUAAGGAUCAUGUUUGAAAAUCUUUUCCAGUUCUUGUUCUCCCUGCUUGGGGCCAUUUUUGGUCUGCUGGUCCUGCAUCUAAUUUAUUCCAGCUUUAGCUCCCAAAACAAGAGAAGGGAACCUCCUGGACCUAAACCUCUCCCACUGCUUGGUAACUUGCUUCAGGUGGAUCUCAAGAGACUCGACAGGUCUCUUUUUGAUCUGUCCAAAAAAUAUGGACCAGUGUUUACAGUCUACUUAGGACUUAAGAAGGUGGUAGUGCUAGCAGGAUACAGGACAAUCAAACAGGCCCUGGUCAACCAUGCUGAAGAGUUUGGAGACAGGGAGGUCACUCCCAUAUUCUAUGAUUUCAACAAAGAACAUGGCAUAUUGUUUUCCAAUGGCGACUCAUGGAAAGAAAUGAGGCGUUUUGCUCUCACUACACUGAGAGAUUUUGGGAUGGGCAAAAGGCUUAGUGAAAGGAAAAUCCUUGAGGAAUGUCACUACUUGACUGAAGAAUUUGAGCAGUAUGAAGGUAAAGCCUUCGACAACACCCAGGCAAUUUGUUAUGCGUCUUCAAAUAUUAUAUCAGCAAUCAUGUUUGGAAAGAGGUUUGAAUACAAAGACCCUGUUUUCCAAGCUAUGGUGGAAAAAGACCACGAAUCCAUCCGGCUGACAGGAUCAGCUUCCAUCCUGAUAUACAACAUGUUUCCUUGGCUUGGCCCUUUUCUUAAGAACUGGAGAGAUUUGAUGAAGAAUGUGGAGGAAAACAAAGAGAAAAUGAAAAGCAUCAUAGCGGAUCUGAAGGAGACUCUGAACCCUGAAGUAUGCAGAUGCUUUGUUGACACAUUCCUGACCCGUAAGCUAAAUCUGGAGGAAUCUGAACUCAAAGAUUCACACUUUCAUGAUGACAACCUGGUCCACAGUGUGCUAAAUCUGUUUGCAGCAGGAACUGAUACCACUGGAAAUACACUCCAGUGGUGCCUACUUUUUAUGGCCAAGUACCCUCGUGUUCAAGACCAGGUUCAGGAGGAGCUGAGCAGGGUGGUUGGAAGGCGUCAGGUCCGCGUAGAGGACAGGAAGUACCUGCCCUACACUGAUGCUGUCAUCCACGAGUCGCAAAGACUGGCCAACAUUGUCCCCAUGGCAAUUCCUCACAAAACCAGCCAAGAUGUCAACUACAAGGGCUACUUUAUCCAACAGGGGACUACUGUUUUUCCUCUUCUUACUUCCGUCCUUUAUGAUGAAAGCGAAUGGGAGAGCCCAAACACUUUCAACCCCUCUCACUUCCUGGAUAAGGAGGGUAAAUUUAUCAGAAGAGAUGCCUUCAUGCCCUUUUCUGCAGGUCGCAGGGCGUGUCUCGGAGAGAGUCUGGCCAGAAUGGAGAUCUUUCUUUUCUUCACCUCUCUCCUUCAGCGCUUUCGUUUUACUCCUCCACCUGGAGUCACAGAGGAUGAACUGGAUCUCACACCCGUUGUGGGCUUCAUUCUCACCCCUUCACAUCAUGAGCUGUGUGCCGUCAGUCGCCACUGAUGAAGAGUGCUGGAACUUCUUUUGUUGUUUUGCAGGCUGUCUGUAUCUUACAGUGCACGUAACAGUUUCAGCUCCCAAGACGAGAAGGGAGCCUCUGGGGUGUACAUCUCUCUCCCUGCUUGGUAAAUUCCUUCAGUGGGUCACAGUUGAUGUUAACUACAUGUCUUUGCACUGUGGGAGGAAGCUGAAAGAAGCCCCUGGAAGAAACUCACACAGACACAGAGAUGCAAAACUACAAACUCUGCAGCCUGCUGGCAAGUUCAAACCCAGAACCUUACCAUCUCUGAGUACCCCAGUAUAACCACUCUGCUGAGCACUGCUGGGAUCUUCCUCGCCUUGUAUGUAUUUUUCUCUGGCUUUGACCGUCAAAGAAAGGAGCCUCCGGGUCCCAGGCCACUGCCACUGUUUGGCAGUUUGCUGCAGCUGGAUACAAAGGCGCCCCACAAAACUCUACAUGAGGAAUUAUAUUUGCCAAUGGAUCCUCAUGGAAAGAAAUGAGAAAUUUUGCACUGACUAGCAUGAAAGAUUUUGGAAUGGGCAAACAAGCAUGUGGAGAGAAAAUCAUAGAGGAGAGU